rnacentral:rRNA from 1 species
GACGAACGCUGGCGGCGUGCUUAACACAUGCAAGUCGAACGGAAAGGCCCUGCUUUUGUGGGGUGCUCGAGUGGCGAACGGGUGAGUAACACGUGAGUAACCUGCCCUUGACUUUGGGAUAACUUCAGGAAACUGGGGCUAAUACCGGAUAGGAGCUCCUGCUGCAUGGUGGGGGUUGGAAAGUUUCGGCGGUUGGGGAUGGACACGCGGCUCAUCAGCUUGUUGGUGGGGUAGUGGCUUACCAAGGCUUUGACGGGUAGCCGGCCUGAGAGGGUGACCGGCCACAUUGGGACUGAGAUACGGCCCAGACUCCUACGGGAGGCAGCAGUGGGGAAUAUUGCACAAUGGGCGGAAGCCUGAUGCAGCAACGCCGCGUGCGGGAUGACGGCCUUCGGGUUGUAAACCGCUUUCGCCUGUGACGAAGCGUGAGUGACGGUAAUGGGUAAAGAAGCACCGGCUAACUACGUG